AGCUAAUAACCUAGGACGGAAAUAAUGAAUAUGGCAGCACAUUAAUCUGACUUUCUAAGUGGAGGUGAAAAGGAUCAGAAUCUGUAAGGAGGGGAAAAAAGCUGAUCUAAACUUAUCUUAUGGAGUCUAAAGUACACAGCAAGAAGUAACAAUCUCCUGUGCAACAGUAUGAACAGGAAAAAUAGCACUCAGCAGCAGUUAAUCAAUAAGUAUAGAACAUUUAAACUUCUAAGGAAGAAAUGGUGAACUGAAGAUGGCUCCAAUGAGAACAAAGGUGAUGAUCGUGGUGGAAUGAAAAGCCAACAAGUGGAUCAGCUAUUUGGAAUUCUUCUCAGAACAAGAAGAGGAUUUGUUCAUGACCUCCAGAUAGUUGCUCCUUGUAAGGAGACUACAAGGCAGUAAUUUCUGGUGGAUUUAGAGGUCUGGCAAAUGAGGGAAUAGCCAUCUUGCUCAAAAUAUGGUUGGCAUCUU